rnacentral:rRNA from 1 species
AUUGAACGCUGGCGGCAUGCCUUACACAUGCAAGUCUAACGGUAACAGGUCUUCGGAUGCUGACGAGUGGCGAACGGGUGAGUGAUACAUCGGAACGUGCCCGAUCGUGGGGGAUAACGAAGCGAAAGCUUUGCUAAUACCGCAUAAGAUCUACGGAUGAAAGCAGGGGACCGCAAGUCCUUGCGCGAACGGAGCGGCAGAUGGCAGAUUAGGUAGUUGGUGGGAUAAAAGCUUACCAAGCCGACGAUCGGUAGCUGGUCUGAGAGGACGACCAGCCACACUGGGACUGAGACACGGCCCAGACUCCUACGGGAGGCAGCAGUGGGGAAUUUUGGACAAUGGGCGAAAGCCUGAUCCAGCCAUGCCGCGUGCAGGAUGAAGGCCUUCGGGUUGUAAACGGCUUUUGUACGGAACGAAAAGACUCUUUCUAAUAAAGAGGGUCCAUGACGGUACCGUAAGAAUAAGCACCGGCUAACUACGUGCCAGCAGCCGCAGUAA